rnacentral:rRNA from 1 species
GGAAAAGAAACCAACAGGGAUUGCCCUAGUAACGGCGAGUGAAGCGGCAACAGCUCAAAUUUGAAAUCUGGCUUCGGCCCGAGUUGUAAUUUGCAGAGGAAGCUUUAGGCGCGGCACCUCCUGAGUCCCCUGGAACGGGGCGCCACAGAGGGUGAGAGCCCCGUAUAGUUGGAUGCCUAGCCUGUGUAAAGCUCCUUCGACGAGUCGAGUAGUUUGGGAAUGCUGCUCAAAAUGGGAGGUAAAUUUCUUCUAAAGCUAAAUACCGGCCAGAGACCGAUAGCGCACAAGUAGAGUGAUCGAAAGAUGAAAAGCACUUUGAAAAGAGGGUUAAAUAGCACGUGAAAUUGUUGAAAGGGAAGCGCUUGUGACCAGACUUGCGCCGGGCCGAUCAUCCGGUGUUCUCACCGGUGCGCUCUGCCCGGCUCAGGCCAGCAUCGGUUCUCGCGGGGGGAUAAAGGCCCUGGGAACGUAGCUCCCUCGGGAGUGUUAUAGCCCGGGGCGCAAUGCCCUCGCGGGGACCGAGGUUCGCGCUCUGCAAGGAUGCUGGCGUAAUGGUCAUCAGCGACCCG